GAUGAACGCUGGCGGCGUGCCUAAUACAUGCAAGUCGAGCGAACAGACGAGGAGCUUGCUCCUCUGACGUUAGCGGCGGACGGGUGAGUAACACGUGGAUAACCUACCUAUAAGACUGGGAUGACUUCGGGAAACCGGAGCUAAUACCGGAUAAUAUAUUGAACCGCAUGGUUCAAUAGUGAAAGACGGUUUUGCUGUCACUUAUCGAUGGAUCCGCGCCGCAUUAGCUAGUUGGUAAGGUAACGGCUUACCAAGGCAACGAUGCGUAGACGACCUGUGAGGGUGAUAGGCCACACUGGAAGGGGGACACGGUCCAGACUCCUACGGGAGGCAGCAGUAGGGAAUCUGCGGCAGUGGGCGAAAGCCUGACGGAGCAACGCCGCGUGAGUGAUGAAGGUCUUCGGAUCGUAAAACUCUGUUAUUAGGGAAGAACAAAUGUGUAAGUAACUAUGCACGUCGUGACGGUACCUAAUCAGAAAGCCACGGCUAACUACGUG
rnacentral:rRNA from 1 species